rnacentral:rRNA from 1 species
AACGCGAAGAACCUUACCAAGGCUUGACAUCUACUUAAAGUCAUGGAAACAUGAUGUCUCUUCGGAGGAAGUAAGACAGGUGGUGCAUGGUUGUCGUCAGCCCGUGUCGUGAGAUGUUCGGUUAAGUCCGCUAACGAGCGCAACCCCUGUCCUUAGUUGCUAACAUUAAGUUGAGAACCCUAAGGAGACUGCCGAUAAUAAAUCGGAGGAAGGUGGGGAUGACGUCAAAUCAUCAUGCCCCUUACGUCUAGGGCUACAGGCGUGCUAUAAUGGCCAUUAUAAAGAGAAGCAAAACUGUGAGGUGGAGCAAAACUCCAAAGAUGGUCUCAGUUCAGAUUGAAGUCUGCAACUCGACUUCAUGAAGCUAGAAUCGCUAGUAAUCCUGAAUCAGAAUGUCAGGGUGAAUACGUUCCCGGGUCUUGUACACACGC